rnacentral:lncRNA from 1 species
CAGAACUAACAGGAAGGAUGGAUGGUCCAAGGGUUUUUGCUCUUGCUAUAAAUACAACAUUUGCCGCUUCAUAUCGUUGUUUGUGUUUUUUUUUUUCUAAAGGAAAAUGUUAGGAGCUAGUUGGAAUAUGUUUAAGGAGAUUCAAUGCAAUUGCCUCUUUGUGAGGGCUUUUACAACUUGAUUUUGCCAAGCUUCGUGAUGGUAAAUAAUUGGGUGUUUGGGUUGUAAUUUCAUGCACUGUCAGCUUAUGAACACUAUCCUUAGUAAAGCAUGUCAACAUGUUAGUGAGAUGGGUUUACAUAUAUCUUGAUAUCAAGAAACAGCAACCUUAGGUUACUUCGCAAAUUUAUUCUGAACUCUCAAUCUAGUCUCAAAAUGAUAAAAAAAAUUACUGUGUUCCGACUUGAAAAUGACAUAUUAUCUGCCCAAUUAUGAUAGAUACGUGUACAGUAGCGUAUACCUGAUUUCCUUUACGACAUGUGCGAACGAAAUCUUUGUGUAGUAAUCGUUAAUCCGAUUCCUGAUUAUAGUGAAUCUCUUGUUAUCAUAUAUCACAAAUUCAGCACUUCCCAUAUUAUCACAUCCGUAUUCUUUCCGGUUCUCAGAUCACCUCUUGUCCGUACCUCCAGUUCAAUCUGUUAUCAUUUAUUUCUGUCGAUUCUUUUUUGGGUAUUUGAAUCUCCAUGGCUAAGGAAAAACCAAUUUCUUCAACAACUAAAAGAAGCUACUGGAGAUGGAGCAAAACGGACUUCUUCCCAGAAACCUCGUUUCAAACCUUGUCAUCUUACAAAACAGCACUUUCCCAAACCUGUCCUCGUCUCAGUGACCGUCUCUUAGCACGUUCCUCCUCCACCGACGAGCUUGUAACCCUUCAAAAAGUAAGUGAAAACCCCAUGCAAAAAUGUCUAACCUGGUGGGACCUCAUUUGGCUCGGCUUUGGCUCUGUUGUUGGUUCUGGCAUAUUUGUCAUAACAGGUCAAGAAGCUCACAAUAAUGCAGGUCCAGCUAUUGUUUUGUCCUAUGCUAUAUCUGGGCUUUCAGCAUUGCUAUCUGUUUUUUGUUACACUGAAUUUGCAGCCGAGAUUCCUGUAGCUGGUGGUUCGUUUUCGUAUCUUCGUGUUGAACUAGGUGAUUUCGUUGCAUUUAUAGCUGCUGGUAAUAUUCUUUUAGAAGCUUUAGUCGGAGCUGCAGGAUUAGGAAGAUCAUGGUCUUCUUAUUUUGCUAGUAUGAUUAAGAAUGAUUCAGACUUUUUGAGAAUUAAGGUUGAUUCUUUGCCUGUAGGAUUUAACCUUUUAGAUCCACUUGCUGUUGUGGUACUUUUGGUUGCUAAUGGGAUAGCAAUGAGCGGAACUAAGAGGACGUCUUGGUUGAAUUGGAUUGCUUCUUUGGUUAGUGGUGCGGUGAUUGUCUUUGUUAUAGUUUUCGGGUUUAUUCAUGCAAAAACUUCAAAUCUGGAACCGUUUUUUCCUUAUGGGAUAGAAGGGGUUUUCAGGGCCGCUGCUGUGGUUUAUUGGUCUUAUACAGGUUUUGAUAUGGUGGCAAAUAUGGCUGAGGAGACUAAGAAACCCUCUAGGGAUAUACCAAUUGGGUUGGUUGGUUCCAUGUCUGGAAUUACGGUGGUUUAUUGCUUGAUGGCUUUAGCAUUGACCAUGAUGGUGAAGUAUACUGAGAUUGAUGUAAAUGCUGCAUAUUCUGUUGUUUUUGAACAAAUUGGGAUGAAUUGGGCCAAGUAUUUGGUUAGCAUAUGUGCACUUAAGGGAAUGACAACAAGCUUGUUGGUUGGAUCUCUUGGGCAAGCUCGAUACACAACUCAGAUUGCUAGAGCUCAUAUGAUUCCUCCUUUUUUCGCUUUGAUUCAUCCCAAAACUGGAACUCCUGUAUAUGCUACCCUGCUGGUGACUCUGAUUAGUGCUAUUGUUGCAUUGUUCUCUAGUUUAGAUGUUUUGUCAAGUGUUUUGUCUUUCAGCACACUCUUCAUUUUUAUGCUAAUAGCUGUUGCAUUGCUUGUGAGACGAUAUUAUGUGAAAGAUGUUACUCCGAAGAAUGAUUUGGUAAAAUUUCUUAUAUGCUUAUUCAUUACUAUUGGUUCCUCAAUUGGAGUUUCAGCACUUUGGAAUUCAAAUGAGAGAGGAUGGCUUGGGUACACUACGGCUGGAUUGUUAUGGUUCUUCGGGACUUUGGGAAUGGCAUUUCUUUCCAAGCAGCGUGUUCCAAAGGUCUGGGGAGUUCCACUUGUUCCUUGGUUGCCAUCUUUGUCAAUUGUGAUGAACUUGUUUCUCAUAGGAUCUUUGGGUCUUACAGCAAUUUUGAGGUUUAUCAUUUGCAGUGCAGUAAUGAUAGUGUACUACCUGCUUGUAGGUCUUCAUGCCACUUAUGAUGUGGCUCACCAAAAUGAAUUAAGUGCCUAAAACUGAAGAGGGUAAAUAAAGCUGUAACCUGAAGAACAAUUAAUGCAGUAGUGAGUGGGACAGAUUUUUUACUAGUUUAUAUAAAUUUCUGGUGUAAUAUACCGCUUUCAUUUCAGCACUUUUUUCACGCUUUCUUGUUUUCUUUUACUCAACUCUGUCUAUUCUCCAUCCAUAAUGUUUCCAAAACUGCAAGUAUAUAUUUAAAAAGCACUCUGCCAAUUAGGAUUUCUAUUGCUUGCCCAUUCAAUUGGGGAACCUGUUACUCUCCCAUCAUAAUGCUUUCUAGAUUAAUUGCAAUGGAUCUCUCUCUCUCUCUCAAUGAAUACCUGAUCUUACAUGACUUAAUACAUUGUUGUAGGUUUAGUUUUCUUGUGAUCACUACAGUAUUAAGACCAUCGGAUGUAGCUAUUCUGACAAAAGUUUCAACAGGUGCUGCUGUAGCUAUACUAAUCUCAUGCAGGUUAACCCAUUAUGACCAUGUUUCACGGAAUGGUGUUUUAUUAAAUAAUAUGUCAUUAGACUUGGCACUUUGAAUCUGUGAUGACUAUGCUCUAGUGCUAACCAUGAUGCAUAAAGAGAGGAGAAUUAAUCGAAUGACAUCUUUUCAGCUUCAUCUAGAAAAAUUGGCUCGAAUCAUUUUUAUCUGGUCUGUCUUCUCUAUUGGAAAUGACUGCUCUUCUACUAGCUAGAUUCCUCUUGAAAGAUUCGCAAAUGAUGGACUGCAAAACCACGUUGUUUAUAUUGUCCUGCCUCCCUAAAUUAGAUCCCUCAUAACUGCAACUUCAUUUGCUUCCUCGCUGGUUUUCUUGCUUGGAUACCUCAUUGGGGUUUUAGAUUUACUUGGACUUCCAUAAGUAAUUUGCUUAGGAGUGUUUCUAACUUGAAUUUUAAUGGUUUUUUACCAGGGCAUAGUCUUGUUUACUGUUUUUUUUUUUUUGUAUUUAUAUUGACAUUUUGGGGUCUAGCACCAGCAGGUCUGCACCCUUUGCUAUUUUGGUAAUUGGGGAUUUCACCGUCUCAAUAGCAGCUAUUGCGAAGGCUUGUUUGGUGUUAUUAUGUUUUAGCCAUAUCUUGACUUUAUAAAUUGAUCCUGCAGUAUUCUUAUAAGUUCUUUGCUUCUAUUUUAGUGAUCCUGGAAUAAUCUCUCAUUUUGUUACCAUGGAACUUAUGGACCCCUUGCUAAUUUUUUUUUUUUUUUUAAAACGCUAUAUAAAUUGCAAGAGAAAAUAGAUAAAGGCUUCAGAUUUUAUGGCUAGUUAGCGCUGCUGAACUUGAUCCUAAAAGCAUAGUUGACCCAGCACAAAGCAUUGCGAGUGUUCUAAAAGUUUCUUCUGGUAAAUGGUGAUAUAUAGAGCUGAAAUGCAUUUAGUAUAUAUAUACUUUUCUUUUUCAGCAAACAGUAGACAGUAGAGACUCAGUCUAGAAGUAAAUUUGUUGGAUCUCUACAUGUUAUCAGUGUUGUGGAGUUUUAAUGAGAACUGGAACCCUGUCUGGUGGUGUAACAUAUUUUCUGGUGGUUUAGAUGAUUAAGAUACUUUUAUUGAUCUUACUCAGGAUAUUGAUUGACAUGUUUUGCUACUUCUGCAGUACUAGUUGGUUCUCAUCUUGAAAUUCAUGCAAGAAUUAAUGGUUCUUGGAGAAGGAUCUCUUAUUUUGUUCUCCAGCUAGUGUGGAGGAAGACUAUUAGUUGCAUGUCAUGAACUAUACAAGAAAAUGAAAUGGUCCCAUUCUGGAAAGAACAAUCAGUGAAUUCUGAAUUUUCAACAUUCAGCUUUAAUAUAAAUCCACAUAUGAAGCCUCCUUUGUUUAAACCUCCACUUUAGUGGUCUAGCUUAUCUUUGAUUUUAACGUUUCUACACCAAUCAGUUGUGUAUUUGUUUAUAUGAAACUGAUCUUUUUGAGAUGCAGACAUGCAGUCAUCUUCCUGGCAUUAUUUUUUGCGGUUUGAAAAAUAUAACAUAUAGCCUCAGGCUGGCCAUAUAUUUUGUUCUAUUUCAUCAGGGAGUUUGGGGAUAGGCGAAGCUAUCCAAGUUAAUCCACUGCUUCAGUCGAGCAUAAUUUUAUUUAUACGUACUUGGUUCCGGUCAAGGUGUCGGGUAAUUCUCAUUAUUGUUUCUGUUCUCCUUGAGCUAGUCCAUGCUGUUAAAAUUAGUACAAUGUAAUCAUUCAUUUAGUACAUGUGAAAUUCAUUCUUUGUAGUACAACUUCCUUUUUUUGACUCUUGAAACUCACUUAGGAUGACAAGAAAAUGGUCCCUCUACGGAUGCCCUUCUACAUAGGAACAAAGAACUGAAGCAUGAAUCCCUGGUUUAAUUGCAUUCCAUAGCAUUUAAUGAGAUUUCUUUUUCUAAAAUUUAUAGCAGCAGUUGAGAUUCAUAGAAUUUGUCCAUGCAUAAUGUUCUUAGGAACUCUUGUGAUUAAUUAUCUUAAACCUUCACGUAACGUGAUUAUGUAAACAUGGUUUUUUCUGUAUCUGAUCCACCAGAUACUGAGGGGAGCCACUAGAUGUUGUACCGAGCACUUUAGCUAAAAAUAAUCACUAAUCUUCCCAUCAAGGUUUUACUUUAAGUGCAAAAAAAUUCUAUGCGUCAAACAAUCAUUAAUGACUGAAGAGUUCUUUUCUGUAAGUAUUCGUACAGUUGUUUUUCCGUUGCUUACUCCUGUAAGCAUAAUAUCAUAAGAAUAGUGAAAAGUAAAAAUAAAAAUAAAGUAGGGCGUGAGCUGUUGUUUAGUUCUGCAAGUGUACUUCUUUUGCUUGCCAACAAGAAGAGCGAAUGACGGAAUUUGUAACACUUUAGUCUUGAGUAGUUUUCUAUUUAGUUUGAGAUAUUUAGUACAAAUAUCUAGUGAGGAAAAUAUCGAAUACAUGAACGAAACUCGAGUAGAAAAAGAAGAAAUAGGACAAGGCUCUAAUAUGUGUAUCAAGUCAUAGUCUUUAAUAUUAUAUUCGCCCCCACUAAUCUUCGGUGCGUAAACAAGUUUCAAGCAAGUUUCAAGCAAAUUAAUCUUGAGGAUACAAUAAAGCCAAUGACUAUUUACAUUUUGUACCGAUAAGAAUAAUCCACUAAACAUUGAGCAAUAUAUAAUCUCAUUCCUAUCUAUAGGAAUUUUUAUGUUUAUUCAUAGAGACAUCUUUCAAUAAUUGUUUUUAUAAAUAAAUAUUUAAAAAUAUUCCAACAAGAUAUAGGGGGAUGAACUUAAAAAACUGUAAGGCUUCUUCUUUCCCAUACCCCAACCUUCCUCUUCCUAUCCUAUGGAUUUUGGAAACUGGAACAAACUCUUGAUUCUAAUGCCUAAUAUCCUAAUUAUUCUUUCUAGAAACUUUAUGAUUUGUUCAGCAAGCGAAAAAUUAAUCCGACAAGAUAAGACGAAAAUGCUUCCUUAUCAGUUGAGAAAGUUUAUGGUAAAUGGUAGUCCCCCAUUGUUGAUAUAGUGCACUUGACUGGUAGGUUGAAUAGGUGUUAGUGGAUAUCUGUUGAACUCAUACUGUUCUAUCUUUAGCACUGUUUCUUCAGACCUUGAAUGUGGUUCCUUUCUUUUCACUAAGCGUGUGACACUAGAUCUAGAAAUUUUGGACACGACAGGAAAACACACACACUAAAAUACGAUAAAGAACAUGGCAAGACACGAAACACUAACAUGAACAUGACAGGAAUUGACGAAUAUAUCAAAAUCUAUAUAACAUGAAUUGUUAACUUGUCAAAAUUUAUAUAACACCUUAAAUAUGAUUACGGCAUAGGAAAAUAACAUGAAGAUGACACUAAUACACGGGUUGCUUGGUCUAUGUGAAUUACUUUCGAAGGUACUAAACUGGCAUACUGAUAUUUCAUAGACUGUUGAAUUGAUUGUACGUUUACGGCUGCACUAUCAGUGAUUAUAAUGAUAUUGAGUUGGGCCUUUCAGAUUUUGUUUCCUUCAUUACGCAAAAACUCAAGGGCUCUUCCAUGCUGCUGCAGAUUUAGUAUCAUAUAUAGAAUAUAAUUGCAAUUAUGGCUACACCACUAAUGAAUUUUCAAUUUGGUUAUGAUUUCGGUUUAGCACUAACCAUGAUACACUGUUGAUAGAUGGGAUUUGACUCUAGUGCGGCUAGUUCCUUGAGGGUUGGCAUGUACACAAACUACUCUAUCUUGUUAUUCUUCCUCCACGAAGAAAUUAUUAUGUUGAGCUGGUAAUUGGGCAAAGCUUGAACUGCACCGUGUGGCUGUAAAGUGCGCUGCUCAUUCAACAUUCAUAGCAUCUGUCAUGUAUGUCAGUUAGUGACUAUAAUUAAAGUUAUUCUUGAUGGAAUGUCUUGUUCAGUCACUGUUGUUUCGUUUUAUACAUGGGCUAAUUGAUGUAGAAACCGGGAGGGCAAAGAUAAAAAAAGAAAAAAAUAUGAGAAGGGAAUAUGGAAGUUUACUUUUUACUUUUACCGUGUGUUCCUUCUUAUUCAUUGAUGUGAUGAAUGAGUGCUAGAUAUGUGGUGGCUGCACGUCAGAAAGUUGGGAUGUGAUUGAUUCUGAAGUCAGAGAAUAUAAAGGUUUGCGAAUUGCAAAUUGCAACUCGUGCUUAUUUUUAUAGCAUGCUGUCUCUCUUAAGUCCUAAUGGUUGUGUUGAAUUUCUGUCUGAUUUGAUAACUGAUCCAAUGGCAUUGGAGGUUCUUUGUCUGCACGGAAGGCCCUCUAUUUCUGUCAUCUUGCUGCCAUAAAUAUUGAAACCUUUUAAUGCACUUAUUCAAAUAGAAAAAAAAAUACUUAUCAUGUGGUGGUAACUUAAACCAGAGCUUUGAAAUGCUAUAGUUGGUGAACGGUUUACAUCUUCAUCAUUGAUCUGCACUUUAUGUUGCUAAUGCUAGGUUCUCCAUGCAUUUCAGAAAUGAAAUUUUGACUUUCUUUCUUGCAUGUCCUUCCACAAUACAAGGGAUCCUUGGAUGGAUAAACUUUCUUCAUAGUGAAACAUGGCUUUCAACAUGGUUAACUUUGAAAUCAGGAUUUAUUGGCUUAAUGCAGCAAUUAUUGAUUCAUUAAUGCCCAUCUUACUCAGCUAAGUGGUGAUUAAAGUCCAAGUCAUGUCAUGUCUUAUCAGCCUGCUGCUUUUGUGAUGCUUGACCAUAGAACUAGGUGAAUGAAUGAUCAAAGAAGCAAAUGUUUUAUCUGAUAAAUUUAUGUUAUUCCCAAUUCAGGGUAUUAUAUACAUUUGAUCAGUAAUGAGAUGUAAAAGCAAGCCACCACUUGUAUUUUCUUCUUAGAACCAUUUUUCAUUCAUGGAUGUUGCCAUGCAGUGAUUGUUUAAGGUGAAGAUGGAUCAUUUUGCACCACUCCCUCAACUUCAUCGGGUUCGGCAAAAUCCAACACUUAUCUAUUUCUUUUGCACUUCCUUUUUUUAUUUUUUUUUAUUUUCAUAGCAAAACAUUGUACGAAAAAAAAAGUGAUUGAAUCUCUAAAAUAAUAUAUGGAACCUUUUUGUUAUUCAAAUUUGUAAUGAAAUUCAGAAAUUCAUUAAAGUUCAAUAAGAUAAAUAUGGUAAUAGGUUGUCAAAAAGAGAAUCUUUACACUUUCAACUCAUCUGACUAACCAGUGAAUUUGUAACUCAAUUUAAUCGAUUUAUGCAACCGUCCUUAAAAGUUGGUUUUUAAUAGAUUGGAGAUUGGACUUUUAAUUCUUUUAUUCUUAGAUUGCUGCCUCCUUUGUGCCAGUAGAUAUAUCAAUUGUGGAUGAUGUUGUUUGACUAGCCUUUAAUGGUACAGUUGGUGUGCAUGAAUUUUAAACUGACUUAAGAACCAAAAAACAGAACCCAAAAGUUUUGAAGGAGAAAAAGGAAGGAAGAUAGAACGGUAAGAUGAAGUGGGUAGCCACUCACUAUAAUAAUAAUAAUAAUAAUCCUGACACUUUUUUUUUCUGGUCUAUUUUCUGUUGAAAUUUAAAAGAAAAGAAAAAGAAAAAGAAAAUCUUUAUAAGAUUCACGUGAUAAAGAAUAAGAAAAAAGCUUCAUAAGCAUCGUUUAAAAUGUUUUGGAUAAAACUCAAAAAAGAACAGAAAUUGUAGAAAGUUGUGUCCCCCAAAGAAAAUAAAAUAUUUAUAUUCACACAUACGGAAAAAGAUUGACACACACAAAAAGAGGUUCCAAAAGAUCUUCUGAUUUAAUAUAUAAAAAUGUCGGCUCACGCGAGCAUGAAGCUUGUUUUGACUAACUAGAUCUUAUUCGUCUUUUUCAGGGUUUAUUAUUAUUAUAUAAUUUUACCUGCUAUAUAGAUAUAAUUGUUAUAAGAUAUAAGAAAAAUAAUUAACUUGUAAUAGAAUAUAAAUAAACAAUAUCAUUACAAGAUUCGAAUUUUAUAUAUACAUCAAAUGAAAUAACCAAGUUUGCUUCUUGUCCUAACUCAAUCUUCCAACUAAUGUUCAAACACAUUUUGGAACAAGAUUGGAUAAUCUAGACAAUAGGAAAAGAAGGUAAAGAGAGAAAUAGAUGCACAAGCUUUGUUAACAUAACUUAGAUAAUAAUUUUAUUUUGUAGAGUCUUACAUAGUAAAUGUUUUAUUCAACAAUCCAUCUAGAAAUUUAUUGUCUAAAAUCUAAUCUACCCUUACACAAGAAUCAAUUGCAACCCAAUAGAUAUCAUUGACUUGUUACAAACAAUCACCCAAAUCACCUCACUUACUACAGUUUUCAGCUCUUCAAGAAAAGCCUAUAUAAAGAGUGCAAAAUAAAAAAUGAAUGUUAGUAACAAUUACACAAGAAAAUAGAGCAAAAGCACAUACAUUCGACACAUGCAUCAAUGUUGCCUGUUUAUAAGUAAAAAAUGACAACUUCUUUAAUAACUUCGAGUAGAUAAAACAUCAUUUGAAUUGAAACAUUAUCUAAGAUAAAACCUUUCGUUUUGAAUUUCAAAUAAAGGUUUUUAUAUACAAGUAAAACAAUCAAAUUGGUCUCUAAGUAAAAGGAUUAAAAGAUAAGGAUAAAGCUUGAGAUAAGAAUUGUUGGAACAUUUUUCUAAAUAUAUAUAAUGUUUGAAUAGUUAUAAUCGAAAAAUUAUAAGUGAUCCAAAAGUUACGUUACUUUUAUUAACCAGGAGUUGUCACUAUUCAUGGUGAUAAGUUUUGCCUAUUCUUACUAAAAGUUACAUCACUUAAUUAAUAACAAAAGGUCAUAAUUAUUCAAGUAGACAUAUAUUGAAUAAUUAUAUUUAUUGCUAAAAGAUGUAACUAUCUAUUUGGAUAGUUAUGUCUCUAUGAAGAGACAUGAGAACUCCUAUAAAUAUAAGUCAAAUUUCAUUUGUUGGACACCCUAAAUAUAGAAACUUUUGUUCCUUUUGAUUUUUCUCUAUAUUCUAUUAUUCUUAGAUUGCUCUAUAAAGAAUUACAACAUAGAUUCUUUAUAGAAAUUGAUACUCUUGCUAUGCUUAGCUCAAUGCUCAGUGGAUUAUUUUUGCUAGCGUAAAAUGUCGACAGUCAUUGGGUUUUAUUGUAUCCUUUGAGGUUCACUUGCUUGUAACUCUUCUACACACCUAAAUAUAGGUAGGGAAAAAUAGAACUUUAAAGAUAGUGGCAUUGAUACACACCUUGAAGCCUUUCUUAAUUUCUCAUAAGUUUAUUUUAUCCCAAAGCUCAAACAAUUUUAAGGUUCUGUUUUCGCAAAUUCUAAGAAAUUAAUGAAGGCGAGUUUGUACAAGUAUGGUACUAUGAGGAUGGAUAUCGAAAAAUGUGGUUGCAUCAAGUCAAUGAUCUUGUCAAAUAUUAAUUUAGAAGAAAUCUUUAUCCUGAGAAAUUGCACAUCAAAUUUAUUGUUUUACUUGUGUUGCAUGAAUUAGAUUUCAAAGGUUAAGUUAUAUUGUAAUUAAUAUAUUAUGCAAAAAGUAUGAUUGUCACGUUUAUUAUUUAUUUGAUAGGAAUCAAAUGCUAGUUUAUCAUUUACAUAAUAUUUUAAUAUAAUUAUUUUUGGCAUAAAAUUAUAUAAUAUAUAUUAUAUCCCAUGCAAGAAAGAAAGAAGAUGGAUGAAAUAAAAAUACAAGAUUGGAAAAAGAUCUAUCAAUGGAUUGAUACGAUAAUUUUGUUUCGAAUGGUGAUGACAUUGUUCAAACAUUAGUUGAAAAUAAUUCUAUCCAAUAAAAGCAUUAUGUCCAUUUUGGAGAGUCUUCCCAAACCAAAAAGUUGCAUUAUUGAAUCUAACAGUUACUUUUAAAAGGUUGGAUUGGAAUGGUUUCUUGGAGCCAAAAAGUGCAAUUUGAAAAGUGACAUCAUUUUAAAGAGUCACUUAGGCACCUAUUGAUGCAUUCUAAAUAGACAAUAAGUUUAAAAAAUUGAAAUUUAAUUCAUUCCAUCCAAAUUGUGAGUGAAACUUUUUAGCACAAAAGUAUUGUUUCUUUUUCAUGAUCUAUAUUUAAAUUGAUAUAUGAAAUUAUUUGUUUAUUUAAAUCAUGUUAUUAGUAACCAAUAUUUCAAUGUUAUUGAUGAGACAUUAUUUAAGUGUAUUAAUUGAUAAAUGAUACACAAAUAAAAGUUUAUCAAAUGAUCAUAUAAUGUGUAACACCCUAAACCCGAUCCAACAAAUCGAAUCCAAAUCUUGGGUGUUACUACUCAAGUACAUUUGUAGCUCACUCAAUUAUACAAAUCUACACUCGAUUACAAUUGUUUAAUUAUAAAUUUCUCAAAGAAAUACGUAAGUAUGAAUAAUACAAAGAAUUCAAUUGGUAUACACAAAGAAUUUAUUUACAACUAUGAUUGAAUUGAUGUCUUGGCCUAUUAUAAUUAUUUUGCAUACAAGACUUCUAUAAACAAUUCAGACUUGAACACGCCAACAAACUUGCUCUGUAUGCAUAAUAGCCCGCCUCCCACUUCUUUGGCGUAGCCCUGGCAUCGUCCCUCUAGGCGCAGAUCCUUAAGAGCUCACCUAAAACAUAACAUACAGAAAUAAGUUCGAGAGAACUUAAUGAGGCUAACACCAAUUACUUGAGUUGUACUUGCACAUUGCUUCUAAGGUUUUGACCACUAUCUUGUAGAUCUUAUCCUUCAAUUUGUUUAUGGCGAUUAUCUUUCCAUAAUUCCAUUCUUCAUACUUUAGAUGCCAUACCUUAGUUUGAUUCCUGAUUUACCUCUACACUUUUGAUACAUUACUCACACUCUUUCCCUUAAACUUUUAAUAUUCCUUCACCAUCCCCAUUUUAGAGGUCCAUACAGACAGAAUACCAUUGUUUUUCAUACAUAUUGCAAGUCAUCAUUUCCUCGAGAUUUCAUGAGUACUUUAGUACAUAGAUAGAAGGCACAUUUUUUAAAUUUACUAGAUGUAGCCCUUACCUACAUUUGCUCUUCUAGCCCAUUUAGCCUAUACUUUAAGUUCGCCAUAUGCUCUGGUGCAUUCCAAUCUUUCUGUUCUUGUCUUAAUACUAUGCAGUUUAUGCCAUAAUAUUUCUCAUGGAGCUCGCCAUAAAGAAAACUUAUUAGAUUAUCUUAUCGAAAGUGUAACAUGAUAUGCUACAAGGGCUUUUCCUUUAGAGUUCAUUAUACCUACCAUUCCUUCAAAGUUUGACAAACAUACUAUCCCUUUAGUGUUCGCCAUACAUAUUAUCCCUUCAGUGUUUGUUAGUAAUACCAUUUCUUUCUUUUAGGGUCUGUUACAGAGGCGUUCCCUUUUAUCAUUUAUGUGCACACAAAGGCGUUCCUUUCAUCAUUUACCACAAGGGCUUUCCUUUCCUUAGAUCACCACAAAGGCUUUCAAUUCAUAAAUUGCCACAAAAACUUCCAUUUUUUGGUGUGUUUAUGAUAGGGAUUCGCCUAGACUAACAUUUCGUGAGGUUUGCCCCUUAUUGUCUUGGGUCAUGUAGAGAACCCCCUUAGGUAUUAACCUUCAUUUAGUUCUUUUCAUAUGAUGCCAUAACCCACUAACUAUGUUCUUACACAAUAUGGUGCCAUGACCAUAGGCUUUUCCUUCUGAGAAUGUGUUUUAAAGUCCUGACAGACCCUUUUUAACUUCAUCGCGGUGAACUACCAUAGACUCACUUAACAGACCGUUUAUGAAUUAGUACUACUUAACAUAUAUCUCAUUUUACACGUCUCAGACAUGUUCUUACAGCAAUAUUUUCAACUUCAAAUUUCUUAUCACACACUCUAUAUCUGUCAGAUUCAUACAAACUAUGCAUGCAAACCUUAUCUAACAUUUAUAUGUCAGCAUAUUCAUCAUACCAUCCCUUUUUAGUUUUAGAUCACAGUUCAUACAAUCUUUGAUAGAAGCAUCUAGAAUGAACAACAUACAACAUACUAGAGUCGGCUUAGGGACUCACUCAACAACCAUAGAUAGUAGCUUAAACUUCAGAUCCAUCAUUUAAGUAGGGAUUGCAGCAACCACUGCCUUGUAAAACAUAAGAUCACCAUUAAAAAUUAUUUUAAAAACUUAUACAAUCAUCUUAUACCCUGAUAAUCCCUUAAAUAAAGUUUUACUUUUUCAUACAUUCAAACAAUUCUACUUGUAAGGCCAUAAGACUUACCUUAACAUAGAGAAAUCACUGAUAAAAUUUAGGGUUUUCAGAUCUAUCUUAAAAGAAUGCUUAUGUUUCCUCCGGCCUUAGUUUUCAAUGUUUUUGAAGAGAGAAAAAGAAAAACUCCCUUUUUUCAAACUUGAAGACCUAUUAAUAUAAUCUAAGUUUUUAUUGAAACUUGGCAAAUGUCGCAUCACUACUGAAUUGUCUUAUCAAAGUCAUAACUUCCAAAAACCCUAAUUGAGUAUUUCCCCUUAUAGUUCAUGUUCAGUUAGCUCCUAACUAGCUUACCUUGUAACUUAACUUGCACAGUUCCAUAGAAAAAGGGCGCAUAAUACAUUUGACAUGGACUCAAUCCUCAAUACUGAUUCACUUGAUCAUAUCUUUAUUCCAACAAAUCAUAGCAACCUGGCAUGAAGCUUUCAUCAUCUUAAACUCAUAACUGUAUCCACCAACUUUAUGCGCUAAGAAGGGCACUUAGGCAAAUACCACUCUGUCAAUCAUACUGCUUAAGGACUACGCCAGACCUUGUGCCUACCAGAAUCGGGGCGUUACAUAAUUUGAAUCAUCUUAGUUGAUUUAAAAUAAUCAUAAGAUAAAUGGGUUUUUAUAUAAUUACACAUUUUUUAGUUUAUGUUAUAAAGGUUAGACUAAAAGAGAUUUUAACUAGAAAUAAAAUAAGUCAUAUGCAAUAUGCACCAUUAAUUUCUUUAGUCAAGGUAGAAUAGUGGAAAAUCAUUAGUUGAUAUAAAUAAAAUCACUAUUAUGGUAUUUCUAGCGGAAAUGCAAAUGUGAAUUUGAUAUAUAUUUAAAAAUUGAAAUCAUGUUGUGCAUGUUUAUGAUGGUGAACAUGAUAUUUUAUAUACAUGGCUUGGAUACGAUCUAUAAUCUCAUGGUUCUAAAAAUUUGAAAUAUAGUGAAAUUUUGAAAGUACUUUAAAAGCUACGAAUUAAAGUUCUUAGGAGUACGUAAAUAACAAUAUUAAUGCUAUUUGACCCAUUUAGGUGAUGGACAUGGUUUUGAUUAUAGUCACAAAAUGACUAGUAAUGUGUAUGAUAAAAGGGUGCAUAAUGUGUGAUAUUAUUGUCAAAUGAUGGGAAAAAUGAUAUAUUCUAAUAUGAAUAUGUUAUAAAAAUAUAUGAAACGCCCUUGGUUUGUUGAGAAAAAACAUAAUGUUAUUUGAGUAUGCAUACAUGACAAGUUUUAAAGGUCAUCUAUUGACUAUGAAAAAAAAAAGAGCUAUAACAAAUAAGUUGUCUUGUUUUACCAAGAGAUUUAAGGCCUUUUUACAACAACUUGAUGAAAAACACAUGAUGUAUGGUUUCAUAUAUUUGAUUAUUGUGUAAUUUCUUGGGUAUCAAGAAAUAAAUAAAGUAGAUAAAUAUGAAACUAUAAUGGUAAGAGAGAUAAAGUGAUUAAUGUAAUUUGAUAAUAGUAAAAAUGAUAUCAUUGAUAACAUUCUUUUGCAAAAAAAAAAUGAGUAACUGAGCAUGGUAAUGAUAUUGGUCUUGUGAACUUUUAAGACGCAAAUAAAUAUAAAGUUUUACCAUGUGAUAUAGAAAAUUAACAUAGUUAAGUUGGAAAUUCGGGGAUGAGGUACAAGCCCAUAAUUUUGAGUUUACCAAGAUAGAAACUCGACUCAAUGCUUGGUAUAACAUCAAGUCUUUAUUUCAAUGAGAAAAAGUGCAUCAUAAGUAUGUAACUACUAUCAUUAUAAAAUAAUAUAUAAUAUAUCAUCACAGGAUAAAAAAUGCUACCCGUGAUGGUAAGGGGAAUGUUGAGUAAUAUACUCUUAGUACACUGAUCUGCUACAAAUCAUUGUAGCAGAUUAAACCAUUUUUCGUACUUAAGGAGCUCAUAUAAAAGCAAUUUAGCUAUCUUUUUACUUAGUUUUCAUUUUUAGUUCAUCGAUAAUAAAAAGUGUAAUUUGAGUCAUUUAUAUGACCUUAGGGGCCAAAGUAGGCCUAAAGGUAGGCUAAUGUAUUCAAUGAGUGUGUAGAACAUCAUUCGAAGGCAUAAGAACAUGAGACUAGCCGCAAUGUUCAACAAUGAGUGUCGAUGUAGCAACAUACUGAGCAAAACACUCAAAAAGAGCAAAAUGCCUUCAGUGUCGUGACAUAGCCAAAGGGUGUCGCAGUCUUAAAACCCAGUGGAACCGAAAGAACGCGAUAUAGCCUUGUAAUCAAGCUUCAGCUCGUAAACUUUCAUCAGUGUCAUGACAUAGGCCAGAGGGUGUCGCAAUACCGUCUUGACUAGAGAAAUUAAUAAACUGAUCUAUCGUUAUUUAGUGUAGCAGAUUAAACUAGUUUUCACAUUUAAGGAGCUUGAAUAUAAGCACUUUAGUUAGGUUUUAGUUAAGUUUUAAUUACUUUAUUUAAAUUCGAUGAAUUGUGUAACUUAAGUCUUUAUUGACCUUAGGGGCAGAAUGUGGCCUAAGGGUUAGUUAAUAUGCUUUGUACGUGUACAUGAGACCAUUAGAAGGUGUGCUAACUUGAUACUGGUCACUAUGUUGCAAUACGAAAAGUUGGAUGUCACAACAUAGAGAGAAUAAUAGAAGAAUUUCAAGACUGCCUUUGGUGUCGCAUCACAGCCUGAGGAUACAGCAACACACCUCUGAAAAUACCUUGAAGAUGAGCAUACUACCUUCAAUUUUGCGACAUUUAAACUUUUAGAAAAGAACCAGAGAAUAGCAUUUUUGAAGAAGAAUAAAAACUUCUUUCAGAACUAUUUUUACACAUAAAUAUGACCCAACUUGCUGGAUGGAACUUAAUAUGUGCCACGCGCUUCAAAAUUUUCCUUUUUUAUGGUCUACAGUUUCCAAGAGAAACAUAAAUGAGUACCCUACAUUUGCACAUAUUAGACUAGGCUAUCUAGUUUAUUUCUAACCAGGUUACUUUACAAUCUAACUAGCACAAAACAAACAAGAUGUAUACCUUUAAAAAUAACUCAUAUGAUACUUACCCUUUAUCGUUUAACAUAAUCUUUUCUUUUAAAUAGCAUAAUAUCUUGAAAUAAAAUCUUCACUUACUUAUAUGAUAGUUACUAUAUGUCCCAAACGUAUACGCCAUAAUAAUCAAUUUGGCAGAUUGCACUUUGCCAUACAAACUAUUAUACUACUAUAUGCCAAAAUCUUAGACUCGCCAAACCUAGGGUGUGACAAUUAGAUAAUGAGUUUUCAUGAGUUAAAGAGUGAAAACUUAUGCUAGUGUAAGAAAGUGAAGGAUAAAGUAAGAAAUACAUUUUUUUUCCAUUUCCAAUAUGAUUAUUAAAGGUUGUUUUACAUGGUUCCUUUAUGAACAUGAUUUUUGACAUUAUGUUUAAUAUGCAUUGUUGGAGAAUAAAGUGUUAACUUGUAAGUGUUGGAGCUUUGACCAAGAAAAGGGAAGCCUUGGAUUAGUAUUAUAGAAAGUUUAGAAGCUUUGCUCAUUCAAGAGAGGUAAGUUCUCAAGGAGCUAUCCUUAACUUGUUGGAUUAAUAUUGUUAAACCUUAGAGUUUAACUGGUUAAAUGUUAAUAUGUGAUCAAAUAGUUUAAUGAAAAUGAAUUUAGAAAUAAGUAUGAAUUUGCAUAAUCUUGGACUAAAAUGUGAUUUUGAAACUUAAUGUGCCAUUAUAAGAAAUUGAGAUUAAGUUUGACUUGAAUAGUGAUAGUUAGAGUUUCAAUGAAAUUUACUAAGUUAUGAAUAGAGGAAUAAAUUAUGGCAUCAGUGGAUUAUUAAAUGAUUUUGUCUUCAAAAUUGAAAAAUUGGAAAUUAAAUGCGUAGGCUUUUGUCUAAACAAGAAAUUGACUAGUAGGAAUAAUUUGGUGUAUAUGAAAUCUGUCAUUGUAUGUCAUCUUAAGAAACAAAAGAACUUGGUGUGAAAUAUUGUGUAAAUGUAGCUCAUAAAGCCUUGAUGAAACUUUUAUUAAUAUGUUUAAAGCUUAUGUGAAGUUAUGUGAAACAAAGCAUGAUAAGUCAAAAGUUGCAUAUGGAAAUCCUUAUUUAUAAAAAUGAUAUGUGAAAGUUACAUUGAGAUGCAUUAUAUAGAAAUAUAAAGACAUAAGUGCCUUAAUAAGUGAGUGAGUAUGUGUGAAUAAAUAUAUGUGUAUGUGGACAUGAUUCUGAUAAAUGAAAUUGAAAUUUCUAAACAAACUUUUCCCUAGUAGACUUAGAGAAGUAGUUAGGAUAGGGCUAGCAUGCCAAUAAGGAUGGAUAUGUACCUUGAGUUUUGUGCCUUCAGGCUAUGUAGUCACAUGCAUAUUCUGAAGCCUUCGGGCUUAGCACUUCAAUGUAUCUUGGUGUAGUGGAGGUCUCAUACUUAUGUGCGCUUCAUAGGAUGCCUUCGAGCCUUGCAAUUCAGUACAUCUUGGUGUAGUGUAGUUAUGCUUUCAUGAGCCUUAGUGUGUUAGGAGAGAUGUGAUAUGAACUUUAAAUAUUUGUUCGUUCUUUGCGUGGUGGACGAUUCCCUUGUAUCCAAGUAUCCUUCUACUAGUGUUUAUUAAGGGCUACACAUUAUAAGAGAAUAAAAAUAUAGAUAUGUGAAUACUGAAGCAAACAUGAAUCGUGAAAUGAAUUCUAAAGGCUACAAGUCAUAAGAAAAGAAAAUGGAAGCAUACUAUAUGAGAGUGUUGAAUGAAAUAUGAAAUAUAAAAAAGAUUCUAAGGGUUAAAAUUAACUCAAUUGAAUACUCCUAUAGUAUGAGUUAAUGUUGAAUCAUAAGAUUAAAUGACAUUAAGGGAUGAAGAAUGAGUUAUAAAUUAAUCUAAAUUAAAAAAGGAGUUUGAAUUCAUGAAAGGUAUAAAAAUGAGAGUUAGACCUGUACCCAUUUUAAUUUCAUUAUAUUGUGAAUUAACCCUUAUAGGCCCUCAAGGUAAGUUGACUAUCUUUAUUGAUUACUUACUAAGUAUUUAUUCUUAACGUGUUGUUGUUUCUUACGCAUAGACUUUACUAACAAUAACAUGAAGCCCCAACCAUUUCAGAAGGGUCCAUCACAUUUGCAAAGUUGAAGAGUAUGAAUUAAUACUUUGUUUUUGUCUCUUAUAGCAUGACAUAUUUGAGAGUGCUUUUGAACCAAUUUUAAGCUCUAGGGGAUUUAUUAUCAAUACUUGGCCCUUAUAAUAUUGUAAAAAGUCAAAGAAAAUGCAUUCAUCUAUAGUAAUAGAGACAUGUAUCAACACAACUAAGGACUUGUGCCGCAGCAAGUGCCCUUAGUCUAAGCCACUGCUUUGUUUUGUGUUUUUUUGACUUUUCAAGGUCCAUUUUGGGUCUUGGACACUUCUGAACACCCCUCGUGCAACUUUAAAAUGAUUUUAAAUUGUCUUUAAAAUCUUUUAAUUAUCCAAAACUUUGAUUAGUAAUUUUAUAAAAAUAUUUUUUUUUGAAAAUAGAAAAUAGCUGAUACUUUAUUGCUAUGAGAAAAUUCAACGGUUAUAGGCCUAGUAACCAGAAAUUAACAGCUGUAAACAAAACAUUGAUUACCUAAACGGUACAUUUAAAGACUAGACAAAAGAAAGAAAAAACCAUUAAAUCAACAGUACGAAAUGAACCGACAGAAAAUUAAAAAAAAAUGCAGGCUUGAGUCCCUUUCUCACUUUUGCUUGAAAAAUCCCUAUUUUAUCAGCCAAAUGAGAGACCGAUCUUCUUCUAAAAUCAAUCUAUGAAUUUCCGUCUCUGUUAACAACUCGAGCUCUUCGGACCAAUCCCUUGCCAACCUGUCCGGACUCUAUUUUACCAUUCACCGAUCGUUAACAUCUCGUCUUCUUUCGCAAUCUAUCAGUUCAACCACCGCAAUCGGCGCCUCCUCAAUCCAGUAUUGGGGACUUUCGUACUGUCUUCCUGCUCGUGCCAUUCUAUGAGCCGCGUGGUUAGCCUCCCUGGGUAUAUAUUCGAAGCUCAGACUUUUGAAUCUACAUGCUCUCCCUUUUAUUUAUCGAAUUAAACUACUUAUUUCGACAACUCAUAAUCAGAGGAUUUAAGUUUGCGUAUGAGAGUCAAUGCGUCUCCUUCCACCACAACGUCUUGGAAGUCCAUUUCCUCUGCCAUAGUGACUGCUUAUAGACACGCUCUUUCCUCCGCCAUAACUGGGUCUGGAACAUUCUCCCAUGGGAAGGUACAUGCAGCCAUAAUUAACCCAUCUUUAUUUUGCGCUAAAAUUCCUGAUACUGAUCUCCCUAUGUGUUGAUUAAAGGACGCAUCAAAAUUAAUUCUAAUAGUAUCAUCUUUUGGGGGUGUCCAUAUAUCUUUCUCCACUUCAUUUGCAUGUCUGGAAGCCUAUCCCAUAGAAUUAAUUUCUGCAUGAUAAGCCCUAAUAAAAGCUAUUAUUCCAUGAACUGAUUCUCUGAAACCUUCGUGAUAGAUCUUGUUACGAUUAAACCAGAUAGCCCAGUAGGCGAUUGAUCUAAACGUAUUCAUUUCUGCAUCUUGACUUUCAACUAUUUGUUCUAACCAUUUUUUCCAAUUGGGUUCUGUAUUGCAUAUUGUAUCUACCACACCCAUCAUUCGCAAGACCUGCUAUGACAAGGGGCAAUCCCGAAACAAAUGGCUCAUUGUUUCCUCCUCCAACUGACACACCGGGAAGAUUGCAUUAUUUACCAAUUUUCAAGUUCGUAAGUUUUAAGCUUUAGUAAAAUUGUAACAGCCCGUUUUUAAUGAAAUCGAAACAGUGGUUUCGGGACCGCAAAUCCAAGUUAGAAAGAAAAUUUAUUUUAAUAUUAUUGCAUGGUUUGCAUUACAAUAGGGAAGACGUAUGAAAAUUUCGAUAAGAAAAUUUUACCGAUUUUGUAUUUAAUUAUAGAAAGGACCAAAUUGUAUGAAAUGUAAAAGUUGAAUUCUAGUAGCUAGAAGGAUCAAAUAGCCAUGGGAUUCAAAAAUUGAGGUCCUUAUAUGGCAAUUAGACUAUUAAGAGAAAUUAGUAGAUAUUUUUUAUGAUUCAUCCAUAGAAAAUUAGAAAAAGAAAAAGACUAAAUUGGAAAUUAAAAUAAAUAAAAGAUGAUAAAUAAAAUAAAUAUCUAAUAUCAUCAUUUUAUAUCAUCUUCUUCCCCAAAUUCUAUAGAAACCCUAGGAAAGAGAAAGUAAAUCAAGCAAGCCUAAUUGGGUAAGUAAUCAUGCCUGUUUUCAGUAAUUUUUAUAUUUUCGACAUCUUAACAACCUAAUCUAUCUAUUUUGGGGAUUAAUUUGUAAAGUUAUCAAAGUAUAAAAAUUUUUCCAUGAAUGAAUAUGCUGAAAUUCUUUAAUUUGUGGUAGAAAAUGAAAGAUUAUUGAUAAAUAAACAACUUUUGUAAAGGAAAUUUUGAUGAAAUUGUGAUUUAGGGACUAAAUUUUAAAGACGUAAAUUCAUAGAAAAUUUUUUAUUUUUGUGAAAUAAAUGGGCUGUAAAUGUUAUAUGUACAAAUUGAUUAGGCUUGGAAUAAGGAUUAAAUUGCAUGAACUUUAUUUUCCGAACUUAGGGAUGAAAUUGGAAUUAAUCAAAAGUAUAGGGGCA